AACGAACGCUGGCGGCACGCCUCAUACAUGCAAGUCGAGCGCGAAACCACCUUCGGGUGAUGUAGAGCGGCGAACGGGUGAGUAACAGGUGGGUAAUCUGCCCUUUGGCGGGGGACGGACAGCUGGAAACGGCUGCUAAUACCGCAUGUGAUUGUGGACUUAUGGUCUGCAAGGAAAGGCGCCUCAAAGCGCCACCAAAGGAUGAGCCCGCCCCCCAUUAGCUAGUUGGUGAGAUAACAGCUCACCAAGGCAUCGAUGGGUAGCCGAGCUGAGAGGUUGAUCGGCCACACUGGAACUGAGACACGGUCCAGACACCUACGGGUGGCAGCAGUAGGGAAUAUUGCGCAAUGGGCGAAAGCCUGACGCAGCGAUGCCGCGUGAGUGACGAAGGUCUUAGGAUUGUAAAGCUCUUUUCUGAGGGAAGAAUAGGUCUGGUAGGAAAUGACUGGAUUCUGACGGUACCUCAGGAAUAAGGAACGGCUAACG
rnacentral:rRNA from 1 species